UACGUAGGCAGCAAGCGUUGUUCGGAUUUACUGGGCGUAAAGGGUGCGUAGGCGGUUGCUUAAGUUUGGUGUGAAAUCUCCCGGCUCAACUGGGAGGGUGCGCCGAAUACUGAGUGACUCGAGUGCGGGAGAGGAAAGUGGAAUUCCAGGUGUAGCGGUGAAAUGCGUAGAUAUCUGGAGGAACACCGGUGGUGUAGACGGCUUUCUGGACCGUAACUGACGCUGAGACACGAAAGCGUGGGUAGCAAACAGG
rnacentral:rRNA from 1 species